AGGUUAUUGACAAAGUCGUCUGUGCAGAGAGAACGGGUAGAUCAUCAAGACGCCGUAAAUCCCUCUCUGGAGGCUCGUGCCGCGCCAUCCCUGGCGCGGACGCUU
rnacentral:ncRNA from 1 species